rnacentral:lncRNA from 1 species
CCGACCCUGCAGGGCGCGGCAGAGGGCUCGCCUGGCCGCUAGCCCCGGAGUGCCCCACGCCAGCCUCACGUGGCUCAGAGUUCGGGAGUGGAGUCCCGGACUCCUCGUGGGCCACAAGAAGCCCGGGAGUCAGGAUCUCCUACACUUCCCACGCCAGCCUCACGUGGUUCGAGUUCCUGUCGGAGAGCGAGGACGGGGCGGUCAAGAGCGAGAAGAGCGUCAAGAGCACCAGGGUGAAGCGACGUCUGAGCUCCCUCCGCAGCCGGGUCACCAGGCAGAAGGAGAAGGGGAAGAGCGCAGUGCAGCUGAAGGCUCGGGACAGCAGGGAGAGGUGGGAGUGUGUCAGCGGGCACCGGCUGGUGCGGGGGACCUCCACGGGCCACUCCAGCUGCCCGCUGUGUAGCAGGCCGCUCCUGAGCCCCGGUGAGUCCCGCACCCCGAUCCAUCCACCCCUCCCUCUUCCUUCCUGCCUCAGCCUCCUUUGCGAAUCCUUGUUCCAUGUACGGUGGACCCUUGACUUACAAAUUCAAUUGGUUCCCGAGGGCUGGUUGUAACUCAAGUCAGUCAUGAAGGCUCAGGCUCCUCUACACAGCCUUCAAAGUCUCUCUCCUGUACACAGGCGGAUCUCAGUGUCCUUAGAGAGACACUGGUCCAAGAUUUCUCGGUUAACCCACACAGGUAAGGAUGCUGCAGUGUUCCUUCCAGAACUCUUUAUGGGUUAAAUCUGUAUCUGAGACCAUCUGGAAGCACAAGCAGCCAGCAUUGGGGUUGUAACUCAAGGCUUUCUAAGUUAAAACUUAAAUUCUGGUCGUAACCCAAGUUGUUCAUAUGUCAGGCUGCUCGUAACUCAAGGGUCCACUGUAUUUCCUUCUUCCCCAUGUGGGUGGCUCUCUCGGGCCCUCGAGGGAAGCAGGGAUAGGUCACCAUGGACAGAGACAUUUGGGUGGUCUCGGCCCUGGCGAUGCCUCCUUACAUCUCAACUUUUAUCCCUGGGGGGACCCGGUCAUGUUGGAUUAGGGGCCCACCCUACCCCGAUGUGAUCUCAUUUCCAAAUGAGGUCACCUCCUAAAGCCUGGGGAGGGAGGCGAAUUCAUGGUUAACAAGCAGAUUCCUGCCCCCAGGCUCGCUGAGGUUGUGGGGUAGGGGAACCAGGGUCUCUGCUCAGAAAACUGGACUAAGAAGCCGGGUGUGGUGGUGCACACCUGUCAUCCCAGCUACUUGGGAGGCUGAGGUAGGAAGAUUACAAGUUUGGGGCCAGCUGGUGAAAUUUAGCUAGACCUUGUCACAAAUCAAAUAAAAUCAGAGUAAAAUGGCUGGGGAUGUAGCUCAGUGGCAGAGUGCUUGCCUAGCAUGCCCAAGGCCCUGGGUUCAAGGCUCAGUACUGCCAAAAAACAGUUUCAAGACAUUGCCAGAUGUCCCCACCAGGGGAUGAAUUGCCCCAGUGAGACCCGAUGGGCUGGUGAGAAAGCACCUUGCCCAAGGUGGCUUAGAUGUCGGUGCAGAGAGAGCAGCGUCUCUACCCUCGGUGACUGUGUGGGCACUCAGGCUGCUGUCGAAAUGUGUAGCGUUGCCUUGCGAGGUCCUUCGAGGUCCAUGAGUUGAGCAACAGGCAGCUUCCGGUUCUGACUGGCAUCCCUUUCUCUUCUGCGGGGCUGGGGCUUACGUACUGGGUCUGUCCUGGGCUUCAGAUUUCAGCGGCAGGUGGAAGGGGGAACUGGAAACCUGGACCCACGGC